rnacentral:rRNA from 1 species
GACGAACGCUGGCGGCGUGCUUAACACAUGCAAGUCGAACGGAAAGGCCCUGCUUUUGUGGGGUGCUCGAUUGCCGAACGGGGGAGUAACACGUAUGUAACCUCCCCUUGUCUUUCGGAUAACUUCAGGAAACUGCGGCUAAUACCGGAUAGGAUCUCCUGCUCCGUGGGGUUGGUUGGAAAGUUUCGGCGGUUGGGGAUGGACUCGCGGCUUCUCAGCUUGUUUGUGGGGUAGUGGCUUUCCAAGGCUUUGACGGCUAGCCGGCCUGAGAGCGUGACCGGCCACCUUGGGACUGCGAGACGGCGCAGACUCGUACGGGAGGCAGCAGGGGGGAAUAUUGCACAGUAGGCGGAAGCCAGAUGCAGCAGCGCCGCGUGCGGGAUGACCGCUUACGGGUUAUAAACAGAUUUGGCAUGUGCCGAAGCGUGAGUGACGGUAAUGGGUAAAGAAGCACCGGCUAACUACGUG